rnacentral:misc_RNA from 1 species
CAAAACCCUAAAAACCAGAGCUUUGAGACAUAAUUUCAAUAGCUGUUAUCAUAAACAGACGGAUCAGCAGCUGCCAGCCACGGUGACCCGACUGUCAGUGAAUUGCCCUAACCGGCUCAAUUCACGACCAUAUUUCUUUAACUGAACAGAAAAAUGGACGGAGCCCAAGCGGGGCUGUCACUGAUAAAGCAGUUGGCUUCCUGCGACAACAAAACCCGUAAUAGAUCCCUCGGCGUCCUCCUGAAGAGCUGGCUUCCAUCACAAUCUCAAAUCUCCGAAGACGACAUGAAGAAGCUCUGGAAAGGCCUCUUCUACUGCGUCUGGCAUGCCGAUAAGCUGCCUGCCCAGGCCCACCUCAUCGAUCGUCUCUCUUCCAUUCUUCCUCAGCUCCAUCUCCCUAUAUCUGUUCAGUACUUUUCUGUGUUUUUGCUCACUAUGCGCCGCGAGUGGACUGGUAUUGAUGGUCUCAGGUUAGACAAGUUUUAUCUAUUGAUUCGUAAAUUCAUGCUCUUCUUUUUCCUUCUCCUGAAGAAAAAUUCUUGGGAUUUGGAGCUUUCUACUCGUUUGAUGGGUGUGUUGGUGGAGAGCACCUUUUUGGCCGAUGAUAAUUUACUAGGCAAUGGUGUCAAUUAUCAUAUUGCCUCGGUGUUUCUUGAGGAGCUUAGACCUCUCCUUCCGCUGAGCAAGCAAGUGCUUGAUGUUCUACUGGGACCUUUUGUUUCCGUUAUGGGGAAGGUGUCGGAUAAGAUCCUGUUGGCUAAGAUUAAGAGUAAUGUGUUUGAUUGGCUACUGAAAAUGGGAAAUAGGCUGCUGGAGGUCAAGAAAUCAAAGGUUGAUGUUGAUUCUGGGAAUGAUGUGCUGGUGUUAGGUACAAUAGCCUUGGCUUUCGGAUUUUCUGCUAAAUUUUUUGAAUUGGGUUCUGCAGUUGAGUGCCCUCAGGGGAAUAGGAAAGUUUUAUUCGGUUUGCAUGAGCAGUUUUUAAAGUUAGAAAAGGAUUUUGCAUCUUUAGGGAUUGAUAUUUCUUUACCUGAGGUCAACGAAGACACUGAUGAAGAUGAGGUGCCAACUUUGGUUCCUCUUUCCACUGGAAUGGAAGUGGCUGCUUCUAAUACCGAUGUUGCAAAUAUGUCUGGUAGCAAGCGUCUGAAAAGAUGCAAGAAGGCUAAGAAGGAGUCAAGCAGCAGUAGAAAAAAGGCUAAGAAGCAGAAUAAUUUAAGUUCCGAUUGUGACACCGAAGAGGAUGAUAAUGUGGUUAUGCCAAAUUAUGGCAAUUCAAAUGAGGAAAGCAAUCAUGAUGCGAGUUUGAUAACAUUUAAUAAAUCUGUGAUAUCAAACCUCCAAAUGCAGUUUGAGAAAGUUGCUGCAGAAGUGGGCUUGGAUAAGAACGUUGGAAGUGCCUGUGAUUUUCCUGAAGUCACUGGAAAUGGUAUCGUCUCCAAGAAAAGGAAGAGAGCAAAAAGUACGAAUAAGAAGCAAUCUGAUGAUCCAGAAUUGAGCAGUGAAGUAAAUGCUGAUGGCGGUGCUACUUUAAAGAGUACUGAGAAGAGUGCCAAGAAAGUAAGGUUUUCCCUGAAAAACAACUUAGUGUGGAAGCCUCACAGUCCUUUACCUCCACAAAGUUUGAGAAUACCACCAUCUGUGACCCCUCGGGGAAGUGCCCUUAAGAAAGGGGUACCUCCAGGUCCCAUUAGGGAGAUGCCUGCGGCUAAAAAGGCUAAGCAGAAGGCCAAAUCUGUGAAGAAGGGUCGGAAGCUAAUAAUUGGUAUUGCCCCUGCUAUUAAACGCCUGAAGAAGUUAAAGACUGUUUCUACCUAGAGAGUUAUCGUGAUCCACUCUCUUGCUUUUAUUCAUCUCAUGCUCUUUUCUGUUGGGCCUUUGUUUGUGACUGUAAUAGCGAGCAAAUUACGAGGAUAUGGUGUGUUUUGUUGUAAUUUUGAUCCUGUUGCUGUUUUGCCAAGGUGAGUUUGAAUCCAUUUAAUCAUUGUUGCAAGGCAGGGGACAAUGUUCCUCUCUCUUCCACCAAGGCUGGGCUGUCCCACCAUUUCAGGUAUCCUUUCUCCUUUCCCCUUUUCUAUCAUUUAUGGGUUUAGGUUGGUGGAAAUUCUAUUAUCAAUUUAGGUGGUACUGGCAUAUGACUGAUUGCUUAUGGUUCUAGUUGUUGGUUUAGGCUCCAGUUCUGUAUUUUGUUUGAAAUUUGAUGGUAUGUGAAGUUGGGUUACAUGGUUCAACUUAGAAGCCAAAUUGUGGAAGUGGAUAGUUGAUGAGCCAGUUUCAUCUUGAAUGAUCUUUAUAAUUUUAUGGAGAAAGUUGGGGAAGUGGUUCAAUUUAGUUAAGCAGCAGAAAUUGCAUAUUAGGUCCAUUUACUGAUGGAAGUUUUCCUGCAUACAGUUCAUGAUGUUGCAUAUAAUGCACUCUUUACAUGUUAGUUGCAUCUUGACUAGUGGUGAAAUGGAUUAUAGAGUGCCUGUAAUGUUCUAAAUAUAAUGGUAAUUAUAUUGAGAAUUAAGCUGUUAAGUUUCGAAAAAUUAACAUAUACUUUUUAAAGAUCAUAGAAGGAUGUUAUUAUGUGAACUUUUAACAGUGAGACAUGUAGCUAUCUGAAUUUCUGAUCUCCCUAACUGGUCAGUUUUACUCUAAAUGUUCCAUGCAUUAAAUGUGGAAAUUUACUGAAAUGUUUGCUGUAGAAUUGGAGGUAAAGAAGGAAGCUCUCAGCAAAGUGUUGAAUGAGAUUUGAUUAGUCGCUGCUUACCACAAACUUCAAUUUUUAAAUGACAAACACUGAAAUUGCUUGUAGCUUAGAUUAGUAGUAAUUUCAGAUGUAUUUCCAUAACUUCUUCCUAGUAUA